GACGAACGCUGGCGGCGUGCUUAACUCAUGCAAGUCGAACGGAAAGGCCCUGCUUUUGUGGGGUGCUCGAGUGGCGAACGGGUGAGUAACACGUGAGUAACCUGCCCUUGACUUUGGGAUAACUUCAGGAAACUGGGGCUAAUACCGGAUAGGAGCUCCUGCUGCAUGGUGGGGGUUGGAAAGUUUCGGCGGUUGGGGAUGGACUCGCGGCUUAUCAGCUUGUUGGUGGGGUAGUGGCUUACCAAGGCUUUGACGGGUAGCCGGCCUGAGAGGGUGACCGGCCACAUUGGGACUGAGAUUCGGCCCAGACUCCUACGGGAGGCAGCAGUGGGGAAUAUUGCACAAUGGGCGGAAGCCUGAUGCAGCAACGCCGCGUGCGGGAUGACGGCCUUCGGGUUGUAAACCGCUUUCGCCUGUGACGAAGCGUGAGUGACGGUAAUGGGUAAAGAAGCACCGGCUAACUACGUG
rnacentral:rRNA from 1 species